rfam:Ixodes scapularis strain Wikel colony gcontig_1108378489242, whole genome shotgun sequence.
UCCAGGUUAGCUCAAUUGGUAAAGUGCUGGACUGGAAAUGGAGACGUCCCUGGUUCAAUACCAGGACCAGGCG